rnacentral:tRNA from 1 species
AUGGAAAAUUGCAUUUUUGGAAUUUGCAAUAAUGCGAUGGGCGAACGGCGGGAAUUGAACCCGCGCAUGGUGGAUUCACAAUCCACUGCCUUGAUCCACUUGGCUACGUCCGCCCCUUAUCCAGCUAAAGGAUUUUUUUAUCUUUUUUCCAUUGAUCAUUAUUAUAUUGGACAUAGAAUGCCACUCUUUAAAAAGGAAAAAAGGAGUAAUCAGUUCUGA